GAUGAACGCUGGCGGCGUGCUUAACACAUGCAAGUCGAACGAGAGAUACAGGAGGAAGUUUUCGGACGGAAUCCGGUAGAUCGAGUGGCGGACGGGUGAGUAACGCGUGGGGAACCUGCCUCAUACAGGGGGAUAACAGUUGGAAACGACUGUUAAUACCGCAUAAGACCACAGAGUCGCAUGACUCAAGGGGUAAAACUCCGGUGGUAUGAGAUGGACCCGCGUUCGAUUAGCCAGUUGGCGGGUAACGGCCCACCAAAGCGACGAUCGAUAGCCGAUUUGAGAGAAUGACCGGCCACAUUGGGACCGAGACACGGCCCAA
rnacentral:rRNA from 1 species